UGCUGACGCCAGAGAUAGUCGGGCACUGCGCGUAUGGCAAGGUGCUAUGCCGGCUAGUCGACGUACCUACUGAAUUGAUGGGCAGGUACCGGCAAGACAACCUGGAUCGGGGAAGGCUAAGGCGCUCGCACGAGUGCUAUGCUGAUCCCGAGCAGAGCUUUCGCGGAGCGAUCCACGAUCACAGCCUGCGUAGAGCACGGAAAGGUGUCGGCCUACUCACGGAGCAGGCUUAAGGGACGUGCCAUUCCCACCCGAAAGGGUGGCUGCCAGCCAGAGCGCCCAUCACGCGAAGGCUGGCAGGCUCGAACAGCUCGUUUGAGCGGGACAGAUAAGGCCAGCAGCCGCGGUAAUUCCAGCUCCAAUAGCGUAUAUUAAAGUUGUUGCAGUUAAAAAGCUCGUAGUUGAACCUUUGGCCUGGCUGGCAGGUCCGCCUCACCGCGUGCACUUGUCCGGCCGGGCCUUCUCUUCUGGAGAACCGCAUGCCCUUCACUGGGUGUGCUGGGGACCAGGACUUUUACUUUGAAAAAAUUAGAGUGUUCAAAGCAGGCCUUUGCUCGAAUACGUUAGCAUGGAAUAAUAGAAUAGGACGUGCGGUCCUAUUUUGUUGGUUUCUAGGACCGCCGUAAUGAUUAAUAGGGACAGUCGGGGGCAUCAGUAUUCAAUUGUCAGAGGUGAAAUUCUUGGAUUUAUUGAAGACUAACUACUGCGAAAGCAUUUGCCAAGGAUGUUUUCAUUAAUCAGUGAACGAAAGUUAGGGGAUCGAAGACGAUCAGAUACCGUCGUAGUCUUAACCAUAAACUAUGCCGACUAGGGAUCGGGCGGUGUUUUUAUUUUGACCCGCUCGGC
rnacentral:rRNA from 1 species